GAAUAUUGCGCAAUGGCCGCAAGGCUGACGCAGCGACGCCGCGUGCGGGAGGACGCCCCUCGGGGUGUAAACCGCUGUUGCCCGGGACGAACGACGUGUUUCGACACGUGUGACGGUACCGGGUGAGGAAGCACCGGCUAACUCCGUGCCAGCAGCCGCGGUAAUACGGAGGGUGCGAGCGUUGUCCGGAAUCACUGGGCGUAAAGGGCGCGUAGGUGGCGCGGUGAGUCGGUGGUGAAAGCUCGGGGCUCAACCCCGAGUCGACCAUCGAUACUGCCGGGCUGGAGCAUCGUAGAGGCAGGUGGAAUUCCGGGUGUAGCGGUGGAAUGCGUAGAGAUCCGGAAGAACACCGGUGGCGAAGGCGGCCUGCUGGGCGAUGGCUGACACUGAGGCGCGACAGCGUGGGGAGCAAAC
rnacentral:rRNA from 1 species